CUUGGUCAUUUAGAGGAAGUAAAAGUCGUAACAAGGUUUCCGUAGGUGAACCUGCGGAAGGAUCAUUCAUAAUAAGUGUUUUAUGGCACUUUUUAAAUCCAUAUCCACCCUGUGUGCAAUGUCAGUCGAUCUUCUUCAUGGAGAUCGACCAAACAUCAACCUUUAUUUUUUAACUCUUUGUCUGAAAAAUAUUAUGAAUAAACAAUUCAAAAUACAACUUUCAACAACGGAUCUCUUGGCUCUCGCAUCGAUGAAGAACGCAGCGAAAUGCGAUACGUAAUGUGAAUUGCAGAAUUCAGUGAAUCAUCGAAUCUUUGAACGCAUAUUGCGCUCUUUGGUAUUCCGAAGAGCAUGCUUGUUUGAGUAUCAGUAAACACCUCAAAGCUUUUGGAUUUUUUAAUCGAAAAGCUUUGGACUUGAGCAAUCCCAACACCAAUCUUUUUGAGAUCGGUGGCGGGUUGCUUGAAAUGCAGGUGCAGCUGGACAUUCUCCUGAGCUAAAAGCAUAUUCAUUUAGUCCCGUCAAACGGAUUAUUACUUUUGCUGCAGCUAACAUAAAGGGAGUUUGACCGUAUUGGCUGACUGAUGCAGGAUUUCACAAGGGUCGGCAACGAUUCUUGUUAAACUCGAUCUCAAAUCAAGUAAGACUACCCGCUGAACUUAAGCAUAUCAAUAAGCGGAGGA
rnacentral:rRNA from 1 species